AUACGUAGGGGGCAAGCGUUGUCCGGAAUUACUGGGCGUAAAGCGCACGCAGGCUGACUUAUAAGUCGGUAGUCUAAUGCGGAGGCUCAACUUCCGUUUAUCUAUCGAUACUGUAAGACUAGAGUAUGUGAGAGGGAAGUGGAAUUCCCAGUGUAGCGGUGAAAUGCGUAGAGAUUGGGAGGAACACCAGUGGCGAAGGCGACUUACUGGACUGUAACUGACGCUGAGGCGCGAAAGUGUGGGGAGCAAACAGGAUUAGAUACCCUGGUAGUCCACACUGUAAACGAUGAAUGCUAGGUGUAGGAGGUAUCGACCCCUUCUGUGCCGCAGUAAACACAGUAAGCAUUCCGCCUGGGGAGUACGGUCGCAAGAUUAAAACUCAAAGGAAUCGACGGGG
rnacentral:rRNA from 1 species